ACUGCCGCGCUGCUUGUUCUUUCGAGACAGACGUCGCGUGCUUGCGCCCGCUAAUCGUGGUCGCUCGUCGAAGAAUACCGAGCACCGGCGACUUCCGAGAUCGUCGUCGGGCGGGGAGGUGUAUGUGCUCUUAGUCGUCCACGUCGUGUACCAAGCAAACCAGUGUGUCCAGCCCUGCCGUGCGCGGGGGGUGUCUUCUACUAGAGGAAUGCAGGCCGCGGGCCGGCCUGCCGCAUCGUGUGCGGCGACGUGGCUUCGCGUGCCGCGGAUACAUCAUCGCGCAGGCGUUCUUCGCACUUGGACUUGGCCGAGCAUUGUCUUCGCCGCUGUCUGCGUCGUCGCUGUCAACGCCGGAGGAGGAAGGCCAGAGGGGGACCUCGACGGAACAGCGCCCGAUGACGUCAUCGGCGGCAGUUCCCCCCUUCUCGAAGAGCGAUCAACAUGGCUUCCCGCUCACAAAUCAUCAGAUGGCGGUGGCCGAGGCAGGAACAGCUUGCCCACCGGCCAGCAACCGGUUUCGCACGGCUCUCGGGGUCCCGGUAGGCUCUUGCUCCUUCCAGGAGGUAGCAUGGCCCGUGGCCUGAGCCCUGCCGAGUACGACCAUCUCCUGCGGAGCCCCAACGUACGGAACGUCACUACGCAGCUAGGACAGACCAUGUAUCUGCACUGCAUCGUGGACUCGGCUUCGGACCGCAUGAAGGCGCACCGACAAAUUGUGUCGUGGAUCCGACUUCGAGACUUUCAUCUGCUGACCGUGGGACUGACGCGGUACACGUCGGACGAGCGGUUCCAGACGGUGCACAUGCAGUUCUCGAACAACUGGGCGCUGCAAAUACGCGACGCGCAGCUCAGGGACGCCGGCCUUUACGAGUGCUUGGUCAACUCGGACCCGCCACUUCGACAGGUCGUCUCGCUGCGUGUUGUCAUACCCAAGGCCAGCAUCCUAGGCGGCCCUGACUUGCACGUCGAAGCUGGCUCGGCGCUCAAUCUGACGUGCAGCAUCAGCGAGAGCCCCGAGGCGCCGGCGUUCGUCUUCUGGUACCACCAGGGACGCCUGAUCAACUUCGAGCGCGGCGGCCGCGUCAGCGUGGCCAAGGGUCCCAACGGCACGGCCGUGUCGCGCCUCCUGCUGCCAGCCGUGGACGCCGUGGACUCGGGCAACUACACUUGCAAGCCCGCCAACGCCAACGCCACCUGGGUGCUCGUUCACGUUCUCGAGAGCCACCGGCGGCUGGCCGCCGUGCAGAACGACGCCGGCGGCAUGGCGCUCACGGCGGCCGCGACGCCGCACUGCGCAGCCGCCUGCUCGCUGCUGCCACUGCUCGUGUCGCUGCUUGUGCAGUGGCUGCUGGCGUGCGCCCACCACUGCGGUUCCAGGUGACCAGCCGCGGUGGAGACGCAGACUCUGUAAAUAACGCGGUUCACGGCAUACCACGCCCGGUUCCCGCUCGUCAACAGAUUCCGGUCCUUCUAGCAGGCUGGAACCGAGGGGCUGGUUCUUCACAGUCGCACCUGAACCCAAGAGUGGAGAGAGAAAUACAAGGACAGUCACUGAACGGGCUGGAAACCACCUACGCGGACCAUAGACAGGCUGUCAACACCUAGCGCUUCGUCGUGUUACCCGUGUCUCAAAAAAAAAAGAAAAAAAAAA
rnacentral:misc_RNA from 1 species